AUUGAACGCUGGCGGCAGGCCUAACACAUGCAAGUCGAGCGGAUGAAGGGAGCUUGCUCCUGGAUUCAGCGGCGGACGGGUGAGUAAUGCCUAGGAAUCUGCCUGGUAGUGGGGGAUAACGUCCGGAAACGGGCGCUAAUACCGCAUACGUCCUGAGGGAGAAAGUGGGGGAUCUUCGGACCUCACGCUAUCAGAUGAGCCUAGGUCGGAUUAGCUAGUUGGUGGGGUAAAGGCCUACCAAGGCGACGAUCCGUAACAGGUCUGAGAGGAUGAUCAGUCACACUGGAACUGAGACACGGUCCAGACUCCUACGGGAGGCAGCAGUGGGGAAUAUUGGACAAUGGGCGAAAGCCUGAUCCAGCCAUGCCGCGUGUGUGAAGAAGGUCUUCGGAUUGUAAAGCACUUUAAGUUGGGAGGAAGGGCAGUAAGUUAAUACCUUGCUGUUUUGACGUUACCAACAGAAUAAGCACCGGCUAACUUCGUG
rnacentral:rRNA from 1 species